GGCCAAGUUUUUAAGGGCGCACGGUGGAUGCCUUGGCACCAGGAACCGAUGAAGGACGUGGGAGGCCGCGAUAGGCCCCGGGGAGCUGUCAACCGAGCUUUGAUCCGGGGGUGUCCGAAUGGGGAAACCCGGCAGUCGUCAUGGGCUGUCACCCAUACCUGAACACAUAGGGUAUGUGGAGGGAACGCGGGGAAGUGAAACAUCUCAGUACCCGCAGGAAGAGAAAACAACCGUGAUUCCGGGAGUAGUGGCGAGCGAAACCGGAUGAGGCUAAACCAUGGUGGUGUGAGACCCGGCAGGGGUUGCCAUUGUGGGGUCGUGGGAUUGUGUUUCAGUCGUCUGCCGGCGGCUGGGCGAGUCAGAAACCGUAUGGGUAGUCGAAGGACAUGCGAAAGGUCCGGCGUAGAGGGUAAGACCCCCGUAGACGAAAUCUGUACGGCUCGCUUAUGCAACUCCCAAGUAGCACGGGGCCCGAGAAAUCCCGUGUGAAUCUGGCGGGACCACCCGCUAAGCCUAAAUAUUCCCUGGUGACCGAUAGCGGAUAGUACCGUGAGGGAAUGGUGAAAAGUACCGCGGGAGCGGAGUGAAAUAGUACCUGAAACCGUGUGCCUACAAGCCGUGGGAGCCCUUUGGGGUGACUGCGUGCCUUUUGAAGAAUGAGCCUGCGAGUUUGCGGUGUGUGGCGAGGUUAACCCGUGUGGGGUAGCCGUAGCGAAAGCGAGUCCGAAUAGGGCGAUUCAGUCGCGCGCCCAAGACCCGAAGCGGAGUGAUCUAGCCAUGGGCAGGUUGAAGCGCGGGUAAGACCGUGUGGAGGACCGAACCCACCAGGGUUGAAAACCUGGGGGAUGACCUGUGGUUAGGGGUGAAAGGCCAAUCAAACUCCGUGAUAGCUGGUUCUCCCCGAAAUGCAUUUAGGUGCAGCGUCGUGUGUUUCUUGCCGGAGGUAGAGCACUGGAUAGGCGAUGGGCCCCACCGGGUUACUGACCUUAGCCAAACUCCGAAUGCCGGUAAGUGAGAGCGCGGCAGUGAGACUGUGGGGGAUAAGCUCCAUGGUCGAGAGGGAAACAGCCCAGAACACCGGCUAAGGCCCCUAAGCGUGUGCUAAGUGGGAAAGGAUGUGGAGUCGCAGAGACAACCAGGAGGUUGGCUUAGAAGCAGCCACCCUUUAAAGAGUGCGUAAUAGCUCACUGGUCAAGUGAUUCCGCGCCGACAAUGUAGCGGGGCUCAAGUACACCGCCGAAGCCGUGUCAUU
rnacentral:rRNA from 1 species